AGAAUCAACGCUGGCGGCGUGCCUAACACAUGCAAGUCGAACGAGAAAGUGGAGCAAUCCAUGAGUAAAGUGGCGACUGGGUGAGUAACACGUGACUAACCUACCUUCGAGUGGGGGAUAACCUCGGGAAACCGGGGCUAAUACCGCAUAACACCUACGGGUCAAAGGAGCAAUUCGCUUAAGGAGGGGUCGCGGCAGAUUAGUUAGUUGGCGGGGUAAUGGCCCACCAAGACGGUGAUCUGUAUCCGGCCUGAGAGGGCGCACGGACACACUGGAACUGAAACACGGUCCAGACUCCUACGGGAGGCAGCAGUGGGGAAUUUUGCGCAAUGGGGGAAACCCUGACGCAGCAACGCCGCGUGGAGGAUGAAGUCCCUUGGGACGUAAACUCCUUUCGAUCGGGACGAUUAUGACGGUACCGGAAGAAGAAGCCCCGGCUAACUUCGUGCCAGCAGCCGC
rnacentral:rRNA from 1 species